UGCAUACACGGUACUCAGAGG
ensembl:piRNA 21ur-5282 ncRNA